UUUGAAAUCUGGCACUUGUGCCCGAGUUGUAAUUUGUAGAGGAUGCUUUUGGCGACGCGCCUUCCGAGUUCCCUGGAACGGGACGCCAUAGAGGGUGAGAGCCCCGUCCGGUCGUGCGCCUAGCCUCUGUAAAGCUCCUUCGACGAGUCGAGUAGUUUGGGAAUGCUGCUCUAAAUGGGAGGUAUACGUCUUCUAAAGCUAAAUACCGGCCAGAGACCGAUAGCGCACAAGUAGAGUGAUCGAAAGAUGAAAAGCACUUUGAAAAGAGGGUUAAAUAGUACGUGAAAUUGCUGAAAGGGAAGCGCUUAUGACCAGACUUGGGCGCGGCGGAUCAUCCGGCGUUCUCGCCGGUGCACUCCACCGCCCCAGGCCAGCAUCAGUUCGCGCCGGGGGACAAAGGCUUCGGGAAUGUGGCUCCCUCGGGAGUGUUAUAGCCCGUUGCGUAAUACCCUGGUGCGGACUGAGGUCCGCGCUCUGCAAGGAUGCUGGCGUAAUGGUCAUCAGUGACCCGUCUUGAAACACGGACCAAGGAGUCGUCUUCGUAUGCGAGUGUUCGGGUGUCAAACCCCUACGCGGAAUGAAAGUGAACGUAGGAGAGAGCUUCGGCGCAUCUCCGACCGAUCCUGAUGUUCUCGGAUGGAUUUGAGUAAGAGCAUACGGGGCCGGACCCGAAAGAAGGUGAACUAUGCCUGUGUAGGGUGAAGCCAGAGGAAACUCUGGUGGAGGCUCGCAGCGGUUCUGACGUGCAAAUCGAUCGUCAAACAUGGGCAUGGGGGCGAAAGACUAAUCGAACCUUCUAGUAGCUGGUUUCCGCCGAAGUUUCCCUCAGGAUAGCAGUGUUGAACUCAGUUUUAUGAGGUAAAGCGAAUGAUUAGGGACCCGGGGGCGCUAUAUUGCCUUCAUCCAUUCUCAAACUUUAAAUAUGUAAGAAGCUCUUGUUGCUUAGUUGAACGUGAGCAUUCGAAUGUAUCAACACUAGUGGGCCAUUUUUGGUAAGCAGAACUGGCGAUGCGGGAUGAACCGAACGCGAGGUUAAGGUGCCAGAGUAGACGCUCAUCAGACACCACAAAAGGUGUUAGUACAUCUUGACAGCAGGACGGUGGCCAUGGAAGUCGGAAUCCGCUAAGGACUGUGUAACAACUCACCUGCCGAAUGUACUAGCCCUGAAAAUGGAUGGCGCUCAAGCGUCUCACCCAU
rnacentral:rRNA from 1 species